rnacentral:rRNA from 1 species
AUGGCAGGUUCUCACAAUGAUAUCAACGUGCUGCAACGUUCUCCAGUCUUCGCGAGACUUGCAGAAGGAAACUCCCCACCUGUCAACUUUGAGAUCAACGGCCACCAGUACAACAAAGGAUACUAUCUAGCAGAUGGUAUAUAUCCUAAGUGGUCAAUUUUUGUGAAGACAAUCUCGAAACCCCAAGGUGAGAAGAGAAAAAGAUUUGCCCAAAUGCAAGAGAGUGUUAGAAAGGAUGUGGAACGUGCUUUCGGUGUGCUUCAAUCCCGGUGGGGUAUCGUUCGAAACCCUGCACUGUCAUGGGAUGAAAGGAAGCUUUGGGAGGUGAUGACUGCUUGUGUGAUCAUGCACAACAUGAUCGUCGAGGAUGAGCGUGAUGAGAGUAUCUUCGACCAAGGAUUUGAUUAUCAAGGUGAAAAUAUUGAGCCCCUGCACCAAGACCCGGCCACAUUUGAACAGUUUGUCCAAUUCCACCGUGAGAUGCGUGAUUGGCACACUCAUUUGAAUCUUCAAAAUGACUUGGUUGAGCACGUGUGGGAUCACAUUGGCAACCAAUAG